UUUUUUUUUUUUUUUUUUUUUUUUUUGCUGGUGGUGAGGGCCCAAGGAAUUGGAGAUGAAAAAGAUCCUGGAGGAUGCAGGGAAACAAACCUAAGCUGGUCCUGAGGUGGGGACAGGUGCAGAGUGCAGCUCAGCGGAAAGCAGUUGGGGCGCCUGUUUCUUGCUGAGGGAGGGCAGCUGUGGCCCAAUGGAUGCAGCUGGAGGGAUGGGUAUGCAUCACCAAGAGCAUGCGAGUUCCUCUGAAUGCAACCUGAGCGCUGAGCUAGGUCUGUAUGCAGUGCAGCCUCAGCACCAGGAUGCUAGAGCGCCUCAGGUUUAGAUUUUUACCUGUAAAUCAGCUAGGCUGGAUGGAGUUCUCUGCACAGUGGCCCAGUGCAGGGAUUUGUGAAUGAACUAGGCUGCUUACGUUUGAAGAGCUAUAGAAAGGGACUAGGGGAGAGCCAAGUGGAACCUGUUACUAUAGUGUUUCUCUGGGAUGACUGUAUCCUGGACAUUAUUGAGAGAACCCAGCCAGAGUUUGGAACGCCAGCAGUUCAGGGCAGCUGCCUCAGGAUGGUGCUUCUGCAUACAUGUCUUCCGGGGUGGGUGUGGGUGGUGGGAUUGUGAGGAUGUGAAAUGGAUGGUUAAAACAGUCUCUAAAUAGUUCCUGAUGAAAAUCUAUUCCAAGAUAUGUUUUCAAAGUACGAUUACAUCCGAGAGGAUUUCACUGUGUCAGAUUAAUUGCUUUAUAGCAAACCCAAGAGCAAUAGCACAUCUCAUUGUGCAGAGGAAAAAUACGUCUUUAAGCUCUUAAUGUUAGAUACACACAGCUCUUAUGUAGUCAGUAGAUUACCAGGGACCAUUCCAUGAUUCCUUGACAAAGACACAAUUGUAUGUCUGGUAGUAAAAAUACAUUCAACAGUUGGCCCAGUGUGAGGAAGCUCUGGGUCUUCCCUGAACGAAGUGCAGACACACUGGAGGAACAGUAGGGAUAGUGGGCUGCCUUUCCAUGAACUUCAUUUUUGUAAAAUGGAAUCUCAUUUUGCUACAUACAACUUAACCAGUGUUUACUAAUGGCUGUGACUUUUUCUAGCAAUAAUUGUGAUCACCAUUAACAUAAAAUACCAUUUAAUACAUACCUACUAUGUAUCAGGAAUAAGUUUAUUUUCUUACUUUUGAAUAUUAACAGUGUAUCUGAAGAGUAGAGACCUGGAUUCAAUUAAAUAUUUGUUACAGAGGGCUGUGGUGGGCACAAAAUUUGCUUUUGUUUGCUGCUUUCUGGGUCCCCUGCCAGCAGCAACAUAAAGUUACCAUUAGAAGAAAUUUCAAGGUGCUAAGAAGGCUAUAUUUAGCAACAUUUUUAACGUGAGGUUUUGAAAGGGGAUUUGAAGGCCUAAAGCAUAGUCAAGAAUAGUGGCUGCUCAUGAGCUUGCGGUAUUUCAUUUCGGUUGCUCGAGAGAAACUUAUGUAUUUUUUCCUUUCAUAGGAGCAAGGAACUCAUUUUUUAAUACCUGGCAACCCCAGCUACUGGGUGUUUGUUUAGUGAACGAAAAAAAAAUAAUGAAUGAGUCUAUUUUUCUUCGUCUUAAUGCUUUCCUCAAGAGGCUACUUAGAAACCAAAUGGAGUAAAAAACUGGUGGAGAAAAUGGGUGCCGAUUAUUAGCAGUUACUAUAAACUUGAACAAAUCUCGUGCUACUUGGCUUAAGUGUUAAAAGGCUUGACCUGGGGAGGAAUUUAAGUCACUUUAUCAACAAGAUUUCCAAAUAAGAGCUUAAUUUAUUCCAAGUCAUUACUAGGAAUGUUGGAAGGGAGAGUGAUAUUUCAGUGAUUCCACAUGAAUAUGCAUGACAUAAACCUCAGAGAUUAUACACUGAAAUUAGAUCAUGUAUAUUUAUAUAAACACUAUAGAAUGUAUUAUCACACAAUUACCCCCCCCCCAAAUACUUAAUAGUAUCCCAUUACCUUCCCACUCAGUGUUCUACGGUUGGUUUCAAUUGUAGAGUUCACAUCUUCUGUUCUCUUACAUGGAUGUGAUAAGUGUGU
rnacentral:lncRNA from 1 species